CCCCUAGAUGUUCUGGGCCGCACGCGCGCUACACUGAACAGUUCAACAAGUCUUAACCUUGGCCGAUAGGUCUGGGUAAUCUUUGAACGCUGUUCGUGAUUGGGAUAGACCUUUGCAAUUAUGGGUCUUCAACGAGGAAUUCCUAGUAAACGCAAGUCAUCAGCUUGCAUUGAUUACGUCCCUUCCCUUUGUACACACCGCCCGUCGCACCUACCGAUUGAAUGGUCCGGUGAAAUCUCGGGACGGCGGCUUGGUCGCUUGCGUCCGACUGCUGAAACUUGAUUAAACCAUAUCAUUUAGAGGAAGGUGAANUCGUAACA
rnacentral:rRNA from 1 species